AUUCCUCUGCCCCGCAUGAUGAGUGAGGGUGUCUUUAGAAUUUCUGAGUCCCACAAGGAAGUUUUUCAGCUGGCCAUUAAGGGCAUUGUCGAGGCCUUUAAGGUCAUCAGCUCGCACACUGCCCAGCCUGCAGUGUCAAAUGUCCUGCCUCUUUGAAUGUGGUUGGAUCGAUGAUGAGUCCUCCAAAAAAAACAUUCCUUGGAAAAGCUGAACAAAAUGAGUGAAAACUCAUACCGUCAUUCUCAUCGGAACUGAGGUCCAGCACAUUGCUUCCUCUGGGGCCUUUACUAGUGAGGGACAACUUCCACUAGUCCCUAUAGGUUCUAACACCCAUGGCGUUCACAGGUGAAGGUCUCCUGUCAUAUUACAAACAUUCCCCCCACUCCCCUCCCAAAAAAAGGAACAUUUCCUCUGUGUCAGGUACACAGGUCAGAGAGUCAUAGGGUGACUGGCUGCUCUGUGAUGGCAUAGUGGCCGUGGAAGUGGAUGGAAAUGUCGCAGGCUUAGGGGAGUGUGGGGCUGGCCUCGGCUUGGUGAGCUCCCAGGAAGGGGGACCUGGAAAUCGCUGCGGGCAUCCUUGCAUAGAGGACCAGCAGCAGUUGUCAUGAGAGGUCUGCCGCUUGCUGGCAAGGAAGAUGGUCAAUUCUUCUGACCAACAGAGGCUGCCUUGAGUCCUGAUUUGGUGUGGCCUGGCAUCUAUGGUGCACCCAAUGCUGGUGAGUGGCUCAGGGUGGUAAGCAUUCCUCUGCCCUGUGUGCAGAGGUGUCUUUUGAAUUUUGAGACCUGCAAAGAGCUGUUUCUCAGCAGGCCACUAAUGGCAUGGCGAGUUCCACUCCCAGAGCUGAUUGUCUGUGUUCAUUGCUCAGUGGUGUGGCUCUGGGUUCCCCCCAGGAUGCUGAAGGUGUUUAAGGUCAUCAGCUCUCCCACUGCCCAGCCUGUGGUGUCAAAUGUUCUGCCUCUUCGAACGUGCUUGGAUCGAUGAUGAGUCCCCCAUAAAAACAUUCCUUGGAAAAGCUGAACAAAAUGAGUGAGAACUCAUACCGUCGUUCUCAUCAGAACUGAGGUCCAGCACGUUGCCUCCUCUGGGGACUGUAGGAGCGAGGGACAACUUCCACUGGUUCCCAUGGGUUCCACCACCCAGGGCAUUUACAGAUGAAAAUCUCCUAUCACAUGCAUGUGAGGAACAUUUCCUCUGUAUGACAUAGACGGAUGGGACAGUUGUGGAGGGAUUGGCCACUCUGUGAUGUUGUGGCAGCCACGGAAGCAGGUGGAAGUGUUUUGACCUAGGGUUGUGUAUGGCUGGUCUCGGCUUGGUGAGCUCCCAGGAAGGGAGACCCGGGCCUCGCAGCAGGUGUCUUUAUGUAGAGGACCAGGUCACAGUUCCCCUGCCAAGGAGAGCAUGAGGCUCAGGCCUCAGAUAGACCUUGGUCUUCAUUUUCCACUAGCUGAUAAUGGGAGUUCCAAGGUGAUGGAGGAGAGCACAGAGCAAUGGGUGUCACCGCAGAUGGCUAAAGCCUCUUUGGCCCUCCUUCCAGCAUCAGUCACAGGUGCCCCCUGGCAUGGAUUUCUUUGCAUCCCUAGCCAUGAGAUGACCAUGGUGCAGUGACCAAGGCUUGGCCAGGAUGGUACCCCAGAGAAAAGGUGGUGAAGGGCUCAUGUGGACAUGUGUGUCAUCAGCUGCAUUGGGCUGUCACUUGGUGGUGAUGGGCUUCCCAUGGAUUUCUCUGGUGGAUGACAGGUCAGCCAGGGCGGGUCUUUGAGGGCAUGUCUCUGGGCAAGUGAGUGUCGGGAUGGUGUCUGUGGCCCUGGGUCACUUCCGGUCUUCUCAGCAGAGUAGUGGGCUCCACCGUUGUGCACACCUUUCUGGAAAUGGUCUCUUGGCAUGCAUUGUUGGGUGGCCUUACCUGCUGCAACUCAUGUGAGCAAAUAACUGCUCUGGAUCCUCUUUCCCGCUUGGAAAGCAAUUUCCAUUCUGAAGGCAUCCAGAGGGAAUGUGCCCUGGCCCUGGCCUGGGAUUCUCCAGUGGGUUCCAGUCAUGCAUGGGGCUAUCCACGGAGGUCUGUGUGCAUUCCAGGCAAUGCGUAUGCAGUCCCAGCGGCAUUGCCACAGAGAGUCUCUCGACUUGGGAUGACUCUGCGUGUUGACAGUGUUCCAGUGUUGGAUUCCGCUAUGCCCUAGGCGUGGUGAAGCAUUUCAGCUCCCUUAACUGGUUUGAAGUCUCAGCACGGCCAGGACAGGCAUGUCACGCUGAAGGGCACACAGUUGGCUUAGGAAAGCUGAAAAGGUUGGUAGUUCUACGGCUUGCAGUUCACUUAGCAGAAACGUGCUUGUGGACCCCGUGGUGUUGAGACAGUGUUGACUUAUAGGCACUGUGGUAUGUAGUAGUGAGGUCAAGUUGGCUGUGUGAUAGGAUGUUGCCUCAGAGGUCGGUGCAGGGAAGCCCUGUAGAUGUGUCCAGUGCAAGAAUGAUGACAGGCGGUGUGUCCUGUCAACCUUGUCCUUAGGGGGUCAAGUGGAGAUGUCCUCUUGGAAUAGCAGCCAUUAGCUAGGAUGUCCUGAGGGCACGGUGUGGGCAUGUGGACUGAGUGGAGGGGAGGAAGCCCGUGUCUUGAGAUUGUUUGGCUAGGUUGGGAAGACUGCCUCUGGCCUUGACACUGAGUUUCAAACUGAGGUGCUGGACUUUGCGAUGGUGCCCUCCAGUGCUGGUUGUAGUUGGUUUUCCACCACAUGUGCCUCACCUGAGAGGGCAGCCAGAGAGAGUGUCUGGUCACAACAUCAGAUGCCCUGUGAGGAGGAGUGUGUGCUCAUGCCAGGCUUGGUGGCUGUUAGGCAAGGGACCUCGGGCCCAUGUCCGCAUGGCCUCAAGGUCAAAGUUCACAUCCUACUGAUUGAAGGCCUGGGUCUUGAGCUUUUGGGUUGUGAGGAGGUUCAGGUCUAGAGGCUGCAGACUAUGACCACCCCUUGUGGUGUUGGGAAACAUAUGUGCAUGAGGGAGACACACAUACACACACACACAGACACACUCUCUCUCUCACACACACACACACACACACACACAGGCGUGCAUAGCCACAGGCAAAUAGAUUCAGCAAUGGGCACAUGCUGUCGUUUCGGUCACACACGCUUCCUAGGUCUCCACAGAGUGACACGGGUCAGGUAUAUUCAUGGUAAUGGAAGUCAAUCAUGGAGGCCAAGGAAAAGUAGGUGUGUGAGUUGCCCUGUAAGCAAGAAUGGCGUUGAAGAGGUGACCAGUGGACCUUGGUCUGUUUCUUAAGCAUGCAUGUGAUUUCUUUACACUUCUAAG